UACGUAGGGACCAAGCGUUGUUCGGAUUUACUGGGCGUAAAGGGCGCGUAGGCGGCAUGACAAGUCACUUGUGAAAUCUCCGGGCUUAACUCGGAACGGCCAAGUGAUACUGUCGGACUAGAGUACAGAAGGGGCAACUGGAAUUCUCGGUGUAGCGGUGAAAUGCGUAGAUAUCGAGAGGAACACCUGCGGCGAAGGCGGGUUGCUGGGCUGAUACUGACGCUGAGGCGCGGAAAGCCAGGGGAGCGAACGGG
rnacentral:rRNA from 1 species